GUGAGUCAUCGAAUCUUUGAACGCACAUUGCGCCCCUUGGUAUUCCGAGGGGCAUGCCUGUUCGAGCGUCAUUACAACCCUCAAGCACUGCUUGGUAUUGGGCUCCGCUGGUUUCAGCGGGCCUUAAAAUCAGUGGCAGCGCCGUCUGAGCUCUGAGCGUAGUAAAUAUCCUCGCUAUAGAGACCAGGUGGUUCUUGUCAUCAACCCCCAACUUUCUAAGUUUGACCUCGGAUCAGGUAGGGAUACCCGCUGAACUUAAGCAUAUCAAUAAGCGGAGGA
rnacentral:misc_RNA from 1 species